rnacentral:rRNA from 1 species
AUGUUGCGCCGCCUGCUGCCUCUCCCCCGGCGCUGCUACUCCGCCUCGGCGACCUCGAGCGGCGCCGCGCCGACGCUCUACUCCGGCGGCGACCACCCCGUGUCGCUGCUCUCCUGGGGCCGCGGCGCGUCGGGCCAGCUCGGCGGCGGCAAGGAGGAGCGCCGCCUCUACCCGGCGCCGGUCGCGCGGCUCCUCCUCCCCGUCCCGUCCCCGGUGCUCCCGCCCACCCCCGGGCGGCUUCCCCCCGCCGCGGGGACGGAGGCGGCCGGCGGCGUGGAGGUGGGGAUCUCCUGCGGGCUUUUCCACUCCGCGCUCCUCGUGGACGGCGCCGCCUGGGUGUGGGGCAAGGGCGACGGCGGCCGCCUCGGGCUCGGCGACGAGGCCUCCGCCUUCGUGCCCCGCGCAAACCCCAACCUCGCCGGCCUCCGCGUCCUCGCGCUCGGCGGCAUCCACUCCGCCGCCCUCACCGCCCCCGGCGACGUCUUCACCUGGGGUUAUGGUGGAUUUGGAGCUCUGGGGCACUACGUUUACCAUAGAGAGCUGUUGCCGAGGAAAGUGAACGGCCCUUGGGAAGGGAAGAUUGCACACAUUGCCACGAGUGGAGCGCAUACCGCGGCGAUCACAGAAUCAGGUUGUGAACUAUACACUUGGGGUCGUGAUGAAGGCGAUGGAAGGUUAGGGCUUGGGAGUGGGGGUGGUCCAGGUGAAGCCGGCUCUCUCAGUGUUCCUUCCAAGGUGAGCGCGCUGCCUGUACCAGUUGCUGCGGUUGCUUGUGGUGGCUUCUUCACACUUGCGCUGACCUCGGAUGGGCAGCUAUGGAGUUGGGGAGCAAACUCAAACUUCGAACUUGGCAGAGGAAGCAAUUCCAGUGACUGGAGGCCACAAAUUGUCCCUAGCCUGAAAAAUGUCCAUGUAAUCCAAGUAGCAUGUGGUGGAUACCAUUCUUUAGCCUUGACUGAUGAAGGUGAAGUUCUCUCAUGGGGACAUGGCGGACAUGGCCAACUAGGGCAUCCAACCAUUCAAAAUCAUAGAAUUCCACUUGCCAUUAAAGCUCUGUCUGAGGAGCGAAUUGUCUACAUAGCCUGUGGGGGAUCAACUUCUGCUGCUAUAUCAGAGAAAGGUGACCUGUACAUGUGGGGAAAUGCAAGAGACUGCCAGCUAGGCGUUCCCGAUCUUCCAGAAGUGCAACCAUUACCUGUUAAAGUUAAUUUUCUUGCUGACGGUGAUGAGGAUCCAAGCCCUCCUCGUGUCAUCUCAGUUGCAAUAGGCGCUUCCCAUGCCAUGUGCUUGGUCUCCAGGCAACAGAUUCAGAAAUAG